GACUUCGUGGUGUAAUGGUCAGCACACUGAGCCGGUAUUUCAGAGGUCCGCGGUUCGAUUCCCGGCGAAGGCG
rnacentral:tRNA from 1 species